AUUGAACGCUGGCGGAAUGCUUUACACAUGCAAGUCGAACGGCAGCACGGGGCAACCUGGUGGCGAGUGGCGAACGGGUGAGUAAUAUAUCGGAACGUGCCCAAUCGUGGGGGAUAACGUAGCGAAAGUUACGCUAAUACCGCAUACGAUCUACGGAUGAAAGCGGGGGAUCGCAAGACCUCGCGCGAAUGGAGCGGCCGAUAUCAGAUUAGGUAGUUGGUGGGGUAAAGGCUCACCAAGCCAACGAUCUGUAGCUGGUCUGAGAGGACGACCAGCCACACUGGAACUGAGACACGGUCCAGACUCCUACGGAGGCAGCAGUGGGGAAUUUUUGGACAAUGGGCGCAAGCCUGAUCCAGCCAUUCCGCGUGCAGGAUGAAGGCCUCGG
rnacentral:rRNA from 1 species